rnacentral:tRNA from 1 species
UCCGCAGGCCAGUGGCUAUUCCGUCCGCUUCACACGCGGAAGGUCGCUGGUUCGAUCCCAGCCGGGACCA